rnacentral:rRNA from 1 species
GAUGAACGCUGGCGGCGUGCCUAAUACAUGCAAGUCGAGCGAACGGACGAGAAGCUUGCUUCUCUGAUGUUAGCGGCGGACGGGUGAGUAACACGUGGAUAACCUACCUAUAAGACUGGGAUAACUUCGGGAAACCGGAGCUAAUACCGGAUGAUAUUUUGAACCGCAUGGUUCAAAAGUGAAAGACGGUCUUGCUGUCACUUAUAGAUGGAUCCGCGCUGCAUUAGCUAGUUGGUAAGGUAACGGCUUACCAAGGCAACGAUGCAUAGCCGAGCUGAGAGGGUGAUCGGCCCCACUGGAACUGAGCGACGGUCCAGACUCCUACGGGAGGCAGCAGUAGGGAAUCUUCCGAAAUGGGCGAAAGCCUGACGGAGCAACGCCGCGUGAGUGAUGAAGGUCUUCGGAUCGUAAAACUCUGUUAUUAGGGAAGAACAUAUGUGUAAGUAACUGUGCACAUCUUGACGGUACCUAAUCAGAAAGCCACGGCUAACUACGU